rnacentral:rRNA from 1 species
UGGGGAAUCUUGCGCAAUGGGCGAAAGCCUGACGCAGCGACGCCGCGUGAGUGAUGAAGGCCUUCGGGUUGUAAAGCUCUGUGGGGAGAGACGAAUAAGUUCAGGCUAAUACCCUGCAUGAUGACGGUAUCUCCUUAGCAAGCACCGGCUAACUCUGUGCCAGCAGCCGCGGUAAGACAGAGGGUGCAAACGUUGUUCGGAAUUACUGGGCGUAAAGCGUGUGUAGGCGGUCCUAUAAGUCGGGUGUGAAAGCCCAGGGCUCAACCCUGGAAGUGCACUCGAAACUGUGGGGCUAGAGUACUGGAGAGGUUGGUGGAAUUCUCGGUGUAGAGGUGAAAUUCGUAGAUAUCGAGAGGAACACCGGUGGCGAAGGCGGCCAACUGGACAGAUACUGACGCUGAGACACGAAAGCGUGGGGAGCAAACAGG